UUACAACACUUAAUAAUUUAUUAAACCUAAUUAAGUCUAUAUAUAGGGUGUGUUUGGUUUCUCUACACUAAAAUUUAGUACAUAUCACGACGAAUGUUUGAAGACCGGUUUUAAAUAUUAAAUAAAGUCUAAUUAUAAAUCUAAUCGCAAGAUGAAGACUAAACGAUUAGAUAUAUUUACUAAGCCUAAUUAAAUCUAUAUAAGCAUGUAUUUAAUAAUCAUUCCGGUUUAAACUAUAGUCAGAAAAACUAAACAACUUCUUAAUAAUCAUGAUUGAUAUUCUAUUAGUUGAUAUGGUAUAAACUAAACUUUAGUCAUCUAACUCAAAACACUUUCCAACUCUUCACUCGUCUCUCUUCCCUUCGCCCAUCUCUCUUCCAAGCUCUGAGUUCUGAUUCUGACCCAGACGGGGAAUAAUCAGACUCCUCGCAUCCCCUCUCUUCUCUCUUCACCCCGUCGCCGUCCCGUUACUCGAUUCGAGGGCGCGACCCUUCCCCAUCUCUCUUGCCUCGCCUUGCCGGCGGCGCCAAUCCCAGGGCUCGCGUCGGGAGUGCCCAACUUCUCCACAGUGGCCGUUCCGCCGCGGCGCCCGCAGGUGGGCGAUGCGAUCGGAUGAGUUGGCGGCGGCGGCGGCGCUUCGUGGAAAGGAGGAGGAGGGGGGCCUUGUGCUUUCCCGCGGCGGUGCUAUCCCCGCCGCAUCCGCCCCUCGGAGCCGGUGAUGGCCCCGACCGCGGAGCCGUCUUCGCGGCCGCCCCAAUGGCGCCCCCGCACGGGCCCACCCCCGGGGCUGAAGAACCUCGGCAACACAUGCUACCUCAACAGCGUCCUACAGUGCCUCGCGUCCACGCCGCCCCUCGCCACGUUCUGCCUCGCCUCUCGCCACUCCAACCAGUGCAAGAAGGUGUUCCCGAAUAGGGACAAUGACUGCGCGCUAUGCGUGCUUGAGCGGCAGAUUGCUCGGCUGCUUCGGGCAGAUGCUGGGGCGCUCGAUUCCCCAGCAAAGGUUAUCCGCUGCAUGCCCCUAUUUGCCGAGCACUUCAGGUGGGGGCGCCAGGAGGAUGCACACGAGUUCCUCCGCUAUGUCGUAGAUGCCUGUCACACUGCUGACCUCCGCAUGCGCAAGGGGUUACGUGCAGCAGCUGCCAGUGGAAACUGUGGUGAGGAUGUCCGGGGGCAGGGGGUUUGUCUGGUUAUGAGGGAGACAUUUGGCGGGGCAUUACUGAGUCAAGUGAAGUGCCUUGAGUGCAAGGGAGAAUCUAACAAGACUGAUGAGAUAAUGGAUAUCAGUCUCGAUCUACCUGGGAGCAGUUCUGUUGCUGAUGCCCUUUCCCGCUUCUUUCAUCCGGAGACCUUGGAUGGCGCAAACAAAUAUUGCUGUGAAAGUUGUAAAAAGCUCACCUCAGCACGGAAGCAAAUGUUUAUGCUCAGGGCACCUAAGGUGCUCGUCAUACAACUCAAGAGGUUUGAGGGGAUAAAUGGUGGAAAGAUCAACAGGAAUAUAGAAUUCAAGGAGGCACUUGAUCUUUCUGAUUGCAUGUACAAUAAAAACCAGGAUCCGCAUCCAGUAUAUAAUCUUUUUGGUUGUAUCGUCCACUCAGGGCUCUCCUCAGAGUCUGGUCACUACUAUGCAUAUGUUAAGGAUGUUGCUAUUGAUCAAUGGUUUUGUUGUAACGAUUCUCAUGUCUCCCUGUCAAGCUCUCAGAAUGUUUUGUCUGAGAAGGUCUAUAUCCUAUUUUAUAUACUGAAUUCGAAAACUCAAAAGCCUAGUAGAAAUGGUUACUCUUCUACUGCAGCUAAACCUUUCAGCACCAAUGGAAUUGGCAUAUCAAGCACCUCAUCUAGUGAGACCUCGAAGAUACCUUUGGUAAAACAGGAUGGUCUAUGUUCUACCAAAGGUAAUGUACUGAUGCCCUUGAAGAAUGGCAAGACUGCAUCAGGUCCACUUAUCAAGCCGAUUCACUUUAAGAACAGUGCAGCAGAAAAGGUUAUGUCAAAUGGCAAAGUAAACCUCACUUCAAAAAACAAUCCAGAGGUUAAUGGAACUGCUAAAUCAUCAGAAUCAAACAGAUGCAAGACUGGACAAUUUGUGGGACCCAGUAAAAAUAAUGCUGAUAAUACUAUUUCUUGUGGAGAGAGAGGCCAACAGUCAGAAAGAAUACAUGAUGCAAAUGGAAAUGGCCAGUCAAUUCAUCAUUCACAGUAUUUUGGUGAGAUCAGUAACGGCAAUGCUAUGCCUACAUCUGCUCAACAAGAGACCAGUCAUGGCAAUGCCACGCCCGCCCGACAGGAGACCAAUAAUAGCAAUGGCACGCCCGCUCAACAGGAGACCAGUAAUGGCAAGGCCUCACAUGCUGAACAUUAUUCUGAGCGGUCAUCUCACCAAGAAGAGCAUGCAAACUUCUCAGGAAACAAACGCCGACUUGAAGAAGAUAAGUUUCAGGAAAUCCUCUGGUCUGGUAACAAAUAUGCACAAGAGCUGCGCCAUUCCAAUAAGGUGUGAUGAUCAAGUGGUGCAAGCUGGAUGCAAUGUGUUGUGAUGCAGUCCUGCUUCUUUUCCUUGCAAGUAUCUGGGGCUGCCCAUCUCUGAUAAGAAGUUGAGGAAGUGUGAUCUUAUUUUGUGGAUUGAGAAGAUUGCAGAAGGCUCAACCCCUCAAUCUGGCUGGACGGACAAUAUUGGUGAAGUUUGUUCUUUUAGCCAUUCCAACAUAUCUCCUUAUUGCUAUAAAUAUUCCUCAGUGGGUAAUUAAAUCAAUUGAUAAAAUUCGACGAGGGUUUCUUUGGAAAGGGAGAAAGGAGGUUAAUGGUGAUAGCUGUCUUGUACCUUGGGAAAUUGUCACGAGGCCUCUAAGCUAUGGCAGUAUGGCGGACUUGGUGUCCCCAACUUGAAAUUUAAAAGCUGGGCUUUGCAGGCGAAAUGGUUAUGGCUGGAAAAGACGGACCCGAGCAGCCCUUGGCAUGGGCUGUCCCUCCCAGUGUAGUGACAGGUUAGACAGUUAUUCGAAUUGUCUGUGUUUAUCGUAUUAGGAAAUUGGGCUACAACUCUCUUCUGGUCGGAUAGAUGGGUAUAUGGGAGUACUAUCCAGGACAUUGCCCUUGAGGUGGUACGAAUGGUUGACCGCAUGGCAUUUUCUUCCAGAACUGUAGCACGGGCUCUGGAUAACUGGCAAUGGGUCAACGACAUUAAUGACCCUCUUUCCUUGAGAGGGUUACAACAAUACUUGUUGUUAUGGGAUACUUUGAGAGGGGUUCUGCUUUCUCAAGAUACUGACAAGCAUGUAUGGAUGCACACUUCUUCUGGGCAGUUCUCCUGAAAGUUUUGCUAUAAAGCAUUUUUCAUGGGGUCCAUUUACUUUGAGCCAUGGAAACGUUUGUGGAAGACUUGGGCUCCCCAAAAUGCAAGUUUUUUCUCUGGUUGGCAAUAAGAAAUAAGUGUUGGACUGCUGAUAGACUUAGAAGGAGAGGGUUGCAUCACCCUCUUGUCUGUGUUUUAUGUGACCAAGAACAAGAAACAGUUCAGCAUCUUUUGUGCACUUGCAGUUUUGCCAGACAGUUUUGGCAUGAUAUCCUAUUGCCCCGGAGACAAGGGGAUCUCACCCCUGCUGCUGAUGAAAUAUCUUUUGCUGAAUGGUGGAAAAAGGUGCAUAAGAGCAAGAGGAAAGGCUUCAAUAGCCUCAUAAUUUUGGGGGCGUGGUGCUUGUGGCUUCUUCGAAACAAAGCUGUUUUUGAUGGAGCUUGCAGAGUUAGCUAAUUCUGAGCUUCGGAUGUCUGUAUGGACGGAUGAUGUCUACAGCUUUAUGCGCUCGCAAAAGAGGCGUCGAAUUCAAAGUUCUGACAUUUCUCAAGAUUUUGAUGCAAUGAGAAAGCAGCUAGUAUCAGAUGCUGCAAGAGUAUGUAGGUCAAAAGUUCCGGAGUCGCUGAUGGAAAAUCUUAUUAAACGCCUGAGAUCAUACUUUGAGGACAAAUAUCCACCAAAAGCGUAGUUUUUCAUGCAGCAGUUCUUUAGAAGCUACUUAGGUGUCAAUUGGAUCUUGGUGGUGGUCAACUCCCUAACUCCUCGCGCGGCUUAAUUUUGAGGACAUUUUUGUAUUCUUUGCUGAGACAGAGACGAGGUGUUCUAAAUUGCAUGUACAAAUAUACUUUUCGUUGUUAUCCCUGAUGUUAUAGGUACCACACCACCAUCCCCACCACUUUUCUGUAGAAUGUAGAUCCCUUUUUAUCCUGGCAGAUUAAAGCAUGAGUUUAUGGUGUUUUUGACACGUAUUUUUGCCCCGACCAGACCCAGUUUUAGUCAAUGUUUUUCUUUUCAUUC